AGAACGAACGCUGGCGGCAGGCUUAACACAUGCAAGUCGAGCGCCCCGCAAGGGGAGCGGCAGACGGGUGAGUAACGCGUGGGAACAUACCCUCCGGUUCGGAAUAGCUCAGGGAAACUUGGAUUAAUACCGGAUACGGUCGAGAGGCGAAAGAUUUAUCGCCGGAGGAUUGGCCCGCGUUCGAUUAGCUAGUUGGUGAGGUAACGGCUCACCAAGGCGACGAUCGAUAGCUGGUCUGAGAGGAUGAUCAGCCACAUUGGGACUGAGACACGGCCCAAACUCCUACGGGAGGCAGCAGUGGGGAAUAUUGGACAAUGGGCGCAAGCCUGAUCCAGCCAUGCCGCGUGAGUGAUGACGGCCUUAGGGUUGUAAAGCUCUUUCGCUAGGGACGAUAAUGACGGUACCUAGACAAGAAGCCCCGGCUAACUUCGUGCCAGCAGCCGC
rnacentral:rRNA from 1 species